GCUCGUAGUUGGAUUUCGGUUGAGAACGGCCGGUCCGCCGUUUGGUGUGCACUGGCUGGUCUCAACUUCCUGUAGAGGACGCGCUCUGGGUUAACGCUCGGACGCGGAGUCUACGUGGUUACUUUGAAAAAAUUAUAGUGUUCAAAGCGGGCUUACGCUUGAAUAUUUCAACAUGGAAUAACCCUUUUGGACUCCUGUCCUAUAUCGUUGGUCUCGGGACGGGAGUAAUGAUUAAGAGGAACAGUUGGGGGCAUUCGUAUUUCAUUGUCAGAAGUGAAAUUCUUGGAUUUAUGAAAGACGAAGUUCUGCGAAAGCAUUUGCCAAGGAUGUUUUCAUUAAUCAAGAACGAAAGUUGGGGGCUCGAUGAUGAUUAGAUACCAUCCUAGUCUCAACCAUUCUUUAUGCCAACUAGGGAUUGCAGGAUGUUAAUUGAUGACUCCGGCAACGCCUUAUGAGAAAUCAAAGUUUUUGGGUUCCGGGGGGAUUAUGGUC
rnacentral:rRNA from 1 species